rnacentral:ncRNA from 1 species
GUAUCCACCAGUAGAAACCUUCGUUGCCCGGAUGCAGGCAGAGACUGUCGGCAGAACGGCAACAUUUUUUUU